AGGAGUGGACUACUAAAUAUUUUUUUUUGCUGAAGUCCGUUCAAAGGCUGUAUGUCUUAUUUGCAAUGACACCGUUGCGGGUUUUAAAGAAUAUCAGCCGACACUUUUCCACGAAGCAUGCUAACUAUGCUAGCAACCAGUUAGCAUAAGAACGGACAGCUACGGCUCAGAGGUUGGCAGCCAGUUUACACACUCAGCAAAAUACUUUCUUCCACAAACUACGAUUCAAGAGUCAAGCACGAAGGCAAGUUAUUUGCUAGCAUUCAAAAUAGCAAAGGCUAGCUAGCCUUUCUUUUGAAAGAAUGCAUGGUAGAGACAGCAGGUCUCCUGUGUCCAGAGAGCAGAAACAAAUUAGAAAAAAUUAGUUUAUCAUGCAGGACAGUUACUCGCCGUGUUGAACUAAUCUGUGAAGACUUAACCAGCUCACUGAACGAAAAAGCGGAGUCCUUCAAGUUAUAUUCAUUAGCACUGGACGAAAGUAAUGGCAUAAAAGACACUGCUCAGCUUUUAAUUUUUAUUCGAGGGACAAUUUUGAGACAACGGAGGAAUUUUUGACCAUGGAAUCCAUGAAGGGGGGACAGGAGCAGAGGACUUGUAGGACAGGAUGUCUGGGGUCAUCGAGAGGCUGAAGCUGCCUUGGUGUAAACUCGCCAAUGUCACCAAGGAUGGAUCCAAACUUGACAGGAAAAAACAUCGGGCUGCUGAAAAGAAUCCAGGAUAAAGUGAAGGAGGAAAACCCUGAGCUGGAAGUGAUUUUCCUCCACUGCAUAAUCCAUCAGGAAGCGCUCUGCUCCUGACGCCUCCCAGAAGAGCCGCGGAGGAGGAGAGGAAUUCCACUGGAUUCAAAGACUUCGCCGGGUUUCUUUUGACUCUUCCGUCUGACUUGCCUCGCCUUCCCCCACUCUUCAUGUUGACCUGUUCUCCGUGAUCCCCUGCCAAACCAUCUUCCUGGCCCUGAGGGACUGUGGCUGUAGCCACAGUUUUGUUCCGAGCGUUGUUUGAAGCGCUCGGUGCAGCCUGGGGGUGAGCUCAGCCUGGACGGCAGCCUGCACCUGUGAGGGAACCUCAAACCUGAGGG